CUGAAGCUGGAGCAAUGGGGUGUGUGUAGAAGGAAAGGGACCCUCUGGAUGCUGGCACACGGGAGAAGCCAUCCCCGCCUCCAAUUUAUAAUAAACGAAUGUUGGAGUAAAUCUCUUCAUUAACUAAAUGGAGAAAGGAAUUUAUACUCCAAAGUAAUCACUCAUCUCUUCAGCACAAAAACCCCAAAGAUUCCACUUCCUGAACAUUCUUUCUAAUGGGACAGACCUUUGCUGACCGGCUGGGCACAGGCAUGACUUCAGCAGGUAAACUCCAUGGAGCUCGAAGCCCAAAGCAAACACACAGCAACACUGCCUGGAAGCCAGUGGGUGGCCUUGGCUGGUGAAAGCCCGUCCUUCAAGCAACUGAGGCAGGAGCCCAUUAAAGGUGUUAAUUUUACAUGAUGUGGCACGGCAAGUUUAUAAAUAAAUAACAAAUGAACAUUCCCCACGGUUCCUCUCCUCUGAGUUUCUGUGUACCUGCUGCAGGCCUGGCAACAGCAGGAGCCACUCAGAUGCCAGAUCCGGAAUUGCCCUUCAAAAAGUGAAGAAGGAGGCCUUUCUGUCACCAGGACUUGAUAAGUUUUGAUGCUUUCAUUGCUGGAUCCAGCCACCUUUGAAAGCUAGCUACUAAUUCAUCCUCUGUGGUUGGAUGUGCUCAAUUUAAGAUUAUUAUCGUAAGCUACAAGAACAAAACACAGAUGUUAGAGUUUCAGAAAAAUGUACUGUUGGGGACCAUUAGUAAAAAAUACUGUUUAAAAUAUAUAACAUAUGUAACUAUUAAAUACAUAAAAAUCCUGUGUACCAUGAGGCAAAACAUGAUGAACAUUGUUGAAUAUUUUAAAUACCUAUAUUGCUGCAUAAAAUGGUUCUGUGCAGUAGAAUUUUCUAUUGCGGGAGAUUUAUGAAAUUUUGUCAAAGUGGUAGAUCAUGCUAAAGUCAGGGGAAAUACUAGCACACUUUAGGUUGCUUCCUAUUUUUAAUUAAGUUUGAAACUGCAUCUUUGCACUUGUGAGUGUGCAUAUAAAUAUAUGUAAGUGCAGAUGUGAUGAACAAUAAUGCUGAUCUAUGCAGACAUUCAAAUUCACACACAAAAUGGCCCACUCCCACUGCAGAGAAUAUUACUUAAUUGAGGCUAGGUCUGUGUAAUUAUAAUGAACUAGAUGUAGAACGGCAAAACUCAACCAGUAUGGUUCACCCUCAUUUAUUUUAACAGCAUAAGAGGAAAGAAUUGAGCAAGCUCUUUUGUGUCCUGACCUGGAUUUCCAACACGGAGAUGAAUCACGACAAUCAACUGUUAUGGUGCUUGUCAUGUUGACCCAUGUCAACAAAGGUGGAGACCGAUUGAGCUUGGGUAGGUUGGCUGAAGUCCAUCUAAUUCUUAUUCCAAGGGACUAAGACAGGGAAAUGGGCUCAAAGGUACCCUUGAGAACAAACUGGGGCCCAAGUUACUCAAGAGUCCAAAAUACUAGGCAAGUAUUAACAAAGGUGGACAACCAAGGGCAAAUGAUAAGGUCAGGUACACAGCAAUGAAAGUCUACAUAAAGGAAGGUGGAGCAAAAAGAAGCAAAAAGAAUGCAAGCAGUGGGCUCUCUGAACACAAUUUGAGUUCUUUUUCUCCAAAAGCUGCUCCCCGUCCACCCGGAUCAACCUCUCCUUCGAAUUUCCACAGCACCUGGAGUUCAUAUCAUAUCAUCUAGCAUGUAAUCAUGUACAUGUAUGUCUUUGUUUUCAUCCUAACUCAGUUUAAUUGUUUAGAGAUCAGUAACUAUAUCUCACAUAUCUGUGUUUUCUCCAGGGUCUAGCACAGCUUUAUGUACAUUAAAUUUUCAGUAAUUGCUCAUUGGUUGAGCUCAAAGUGAUUUUUGGCCUCAAGCAAGGAUUGAUAACAAGCUCCAUCCAUUUUUCCUCCAACAUGUCGAGUCUACAUAUCUGUUCCAAUGUUCCUACAAAGCAUAUAAACAUAUACUCUAAAACAUACGAGGGUACGUUUCUGUUUAUUCUACACUUGUUUCUGUAACUUUUUAAUACAACCAUACAUGCAGAACCAACUAAUUCUUCUGGUAACUACAUAAAAUUCUAUGGUAUGGCUCCAUCACAAUUUAAUCAUAGGCAUACCUCAUUUGGUUGUGUUUUGCUUUAUUGUGCUUUAUUGUACAGAUAAUGCAUUUUUUAAAAUAAAUUGAAUGUUUGUUGCAACUAUGUGUCAAGCAAGUUUAUCGGUACCAUUUUUCCAACAGCAUGUGCUCACGUCGUAUCUCUGUGUUACAUUUUCGUAAUCCUCACACUGUCAAACUUUUUCAUUAUGAUCUUAUUUGUUAUAGUGAUUUGUGAUUGGUGAUCCUUGAUGUUAUUAUUGUACUUACUUUGAGGUGCCAUGAAUUGUGCCCAUACAAGACAGCAAACCUAAUUGAUAAACAUUGUGUGUGAUCUGACUGCUCCACCUACCGGCCAUCCCCCCAUCUCUCUCCCUCUCUUCAGGCUUUCCUAUUCCAAGACACAACAAUAUUAAAUUAG
rnacentral:lncRNA from 10 species